UACGUAGGGACCGAGCGUUGUCCGGAAUCAUUGGGCGUAAAGAGCGUGUAGGCGGUCCGGUAAGUCCGCUGUGAAAGUCGGGGGCUCAACCCUCGAAUGCCGGUGGAUACUGUCGGGCUAGAGUGCGGAAGAGGCGAGUGGAAUUCCUGGUGUAGCGGUGAAAUGCGCAGAUAUCAGGAGGAGCACCUAUUGCGAAGGCAGCUCGCUGGGACGUAACUGACGCUGAGACGCGAAAGCGUGGGGAGCAAACAGG
rnacentral:rRNA from 1 species